rnacentral:rRNA from 1 species
GUAGUCUCGCACAGAUGCAUAUCAAUAAGCGGAGGAAAAGAAACUAACAAGGAUUCCCCUAGUAACGGCGAGUGAAGCGGGAAGAGCUCAAAUUUGAAAUCUUAAAGGGUUUCCCUUUACGAAUUGUAGUUUAAAGAAGUGUUUUCUGUUGAGGUUUUGGUAAAAGUUCUUUGGAAUAGGACAUCAUAGAGGGUGAGAAUCCCGUAUUUGACCUUUACUUUCAACUUUGUGAUACACUUUCAAAGAGUCGGAUUGUUUGGGAAUGCAGUCCAAAAUGGGUGGUAAAUUUCAUCUAAAGCUAAGUAUUGGCGAGAGACCGAUAGCGAACAAGUACCGCGAGGGAAAGAUGAAAAGAACUUUGAAAAGAGAGUUAAACAGUACGUGAAAUUGUCAAAAGGGAAGCGUUUGACACCAGUGUUGUUUUUCUGAAAAUCAAUUAAAGAACUGUUUAUGCUAAGCUGUUUAGACUUUAUCAGCUAACUGUUUAGUUUUGAGCUUUUCCUUAAUGCACUUUUCAGUUAACAAGUCAACAUCAAUUUCUUUUGCUGUAAAAAAGCUUGAGGAAGGUGGCUUGAGAUUCGUCUUAAGUGUUUAUAGCCUCUUGCCUAUGCAGUCGGAGAGAUUGAGGUCUGCAGCGUAGAUCCUUCGGGGCUAAAUGCAUUUGUGCUAAGUUAUAGCAUUUUAUAGACAACUUGUUGACUAUGAUUUGUCUUGUAGCUUACUCGCUUAUGUUAUUUUACCUACGCUUAGGAUGUUGAAGACUCUACAGAGAUA